UUCUGUCUGAAGGCCCUGAGCCUGUGGUGGAGAGGUAGCUCUGCAGACCUCUGAGGUGCCCUCCAAGUCCCUUUCCUCUUGUCCCCGUGCUUCUGGCCUCACUUUAUCCAUGCUGAUCCCUCCUGGAUGCACCUCUCCGUGGCACUUCUUUGCUCCUUUCCUGGAGGAGCUGUAAAUCUUUCAAAUCCUUUUGCGUUGUUUCCUUUUACAUUGAGAAAUUCUAUUUUUAGAUGGUGCUUCUAAAGCCUUCUUUCUGCAGUUCAGAUGUAACCCAGGGGCAGCUUGGCAGCUUUGCUGUUUCAGUACUUUCUCUGCCAAGCACCCCAGUUUGUCACUUUUGAAUUCUGCCUUCUAUAAAUCUCUAGGUGGGUAUGGGCACAACCCUCUUGCAAGAGCUAACUCAAAGAAUCCUGGAAGAACUGCAUCUCUUCUGAAGGCAGUACUCAGCAAGACCUAGAGACCUCCCACUAGGGCCCACAGACCUCUCACAGAUCCACUGUCUCCUCACAUUGCCACGCUGGGCAUCCAACUUCAACUCAUGACUCACUCACCCAAACCACAGAGACCAGCACCUCUGCCAUCAUCGACUCCAUAGCUAGUAGGAAUGACUGGUAUGCAAAAAGGUCAGAAUACAAGUUCAGAAAAGGGCUUGAGGGUUUUUCAUUCUUAUGAUAGAAAUGACUUCACAGAGUAUAUUAAUUAUUUAUAGUACAUUAAUUAUAGCAACAGCGGCUUAGGCUGAUAACUGUUUAUUAUUUGAUCAACAGUCCUACACAGCUGCACUUGAUAGGAUGAAUCUCUGGGCUCUUGUGUGAGCAGUGACUCAAGAAACCACAUUUCUGUAUUUUGGAGCUACUUAGUGUUAAAUGGCUUUGCUGGGUGGGGGAAGGAAACAUUGAAAUGUAGAGGCUACAUAAUGUAACAACAGUUUAUUGUUCAUUUUACACAGAGGCUACACUUGAGCCAUAGCUCUCCUCCAGGGUGUGCUUGACAAAGUCUACAUCUUCUCCUGUGGGAAGAAAUAGCUUCUUUGUAGAUCAUGCCUAUUCUUGUCACAGCUGGGAAGAGCUGCAGAUUGGAGGGAACCGGUGUCUUCUCCUCCCAUGAUGAGCUUGAGAGCAGGUCUUUACGCCGAAGCCAUCACCAUGGUAACGGCCACAGGUCCAUCUGUCACCUUCCUAAAUUUCUCCAGCAUGCAUUAUUAUUUUACUUGUGUAUAUAUUAAGAGCACAUGCAUUCUAACUUUUUAGAAAACUUUAUAUUGCAGUAUUGUUAGCUAGAGGCGUGGUACCCACCUCUGUAGUACAGACCCACAGAACUAAAUUACCUUGUACGACUGAGGCUUUGUAAGCUUUGACAUUGCCUGUUUUCCCUGCCUUCCAGCAUUUGAUGGUCACUGUUCCCUGUGCUUUUGUGCACUUACUGUGGUUGGACCAUAGUUGGAACAUGGUCUCCCACGAUAUCCCGUGUUGGGUUUUAAUGCUCAUCAUGACAGAUUGAGAGGACACAGGCUUAGUCUGAGCAAGGUCUCAUGGCACAGGUGUAAUCCGAGCUGCCAAACAGGCAGGAGGAUCAUAGGCUCAGGGCAACUGUGCUACAGAGGGAGUUUACGUCCAGCCUAAACAACUUGGCCUCAAAAUAAUACAUAAAUAAAUAAAUAAAAUGCAUGUAUAUUAUCUAUAAAAGAUCCUAGUGACUCCACCAAACACUUUCAGAAAAGAAGCAGAAUACAAGAAAAAAACAUUCAAAAAUCAGUAGUUUUUCUAUUUUCUAAGAUUGAACUUGCUGAGAAAGAAAGAAGAAAGCAAUCAGCCAGCCUUGGAGUAAGCAUAAUCAAGGAGGUGAAAGGCCUCUACACUUUAACACUG
rnacentral:lncRNA from 1 species